rnacentral:rRNA from 1 species
ACACUGACGUCGCGACGCAUAUCAAUAAGCGGAGGAAAAGAAACUAACAAGGAUUCCCUUAGUAACGGCGAGUGAAGCGGGAAGAGCUCAAAUUUGAAAUCUUCAAGGUUCUACCUUGACGAAUUGUAGUUUAAAGAAGUGUUUUCUGUUAGAUGAGUAGCAAAAGCUCCUUGGAAUGGGACAUCAUAGAGGGUGAGAAUCCCGUAUUUGGUUAUUCAUUCUAGCUUUGUGAUACACUUUCAAAGAGUCGGAUUGUUUGGGAAUGCAGUCCAAAAUGGGUGGUAAAUUUCAUCUAAAGCUAAAUAUUGGCGAGAGACCGAUAGCGAACAAGUACCGUGAGGGAAAGAUGAAAAGAACUUUGAAAAGAGAGUUAAACAGUACGUGAAAUUGUCAAAAGGGAAGCGUUUGACACCAGUGUUGUUUUUCCGAAAAUCAAUUAUAAAUGGUUUGAUUUCUGUGUAGAGUAUGACCUUCAUCAGCUUCCUGCUACUCUUUCACGAGACUUUUGUAAUGCACUUUUCGGUUAACAAGUCAACAUCAAUUUCUUUUGUUGUAAAAGAGUAUUCGGAAGGUGGCUUUCUUUUCGGAGAAAGUGUUUAUAGCCCUAUACUUCUACAAUCGGAGAGAUUGAGGUCUGCAGCGUAGAUCCUUCGGGGUUAGAUACACUUGUGCUAAGUUAUAGCUUUUCAUAGACAACUUGUUGACUAUGUUUAGUCUUGUAGCUUACUCGCUUGUGCUAUUUUAUCCUACGCUUAGGAUGUUGAGUCGUAGAGCACGCAG